AGCUUGGGGUUGAGUGAAGGGGAGGCUAAGGAGAUGGUGAAGGCGUCUCCUGAUGUGCUGACGCAGGCGAGCGAUGUGUUGGAAGCAAAGGUUGAUUACCUUGUGAAUGAGUUGGGGUACCCGCUUUCGACUCUGGUGGCUUUUCCUUCGUGUCUUAAGUACACGCUUGAAAGGAUGAAGGUAAGGUUUGCAAUGUAUAAUUGGUUGCAAGAGAGAGGGAAGGCGGAUGCGAAGCUGGCGAUAAGUACCAUUCUUGUGUACUCUGAUAAGUCGUUUGUGAAGAGGUUUGUGAACCGUCACCCUGAUGGUGCUAAGUAUUUUGAGGAGUUGAAGAAGAGUGCUUCUUUGUGAGUAUAUAGAAGAAGAAAGUUUAUCAAGAUGUGGUUUCUAACCUUUGAUGAAGACAAUUUUUGUGGACCAGUAACUUCAAAUCUCUCUGUAAUGAUUUGCUAUGUAAUGUUUCCACAAGCUCAAUAGCAAUUUUGGAUCAAAUUAAAAUUGUUACUAUAAUUAGCCAAGGGUUCCACAUGAGCUUGUUCUCAGGGUUUAGCAUCAAGGUCCAAGGAAAAUCCAAAAGAAUUCAAACUAAAAAAUAUAAGAGAAUAUUCACACUAAUUUGUAAACUAAAAAAAUAUAAGAGAAUAUUCAAACUAGUUUGCAAACUAAAAAAUAUAAGAGAAUAUUCAAUCUAAUUUGCAAACUAAAAAAAUAUAAAAGAAUAUUCUUUUUUUUUAUUGUGAAACAGAGAAUAUUCAAACGAAUUUACAAACAAAAUAUUCUUGGUACAUUUUCAAAAUGUGUUUGAUCGAUUGGCUAGCAACGCUUGAGAGGCGCCCCACAUAGACAGAGGUUGUUGGAGAACUCAUAGACCUCGAAGUUCUGUAUCAGACCUCCCUGUGGUAUGGACCCACAUAGACGGUUGAAACUUAUGUUAAAUUGGUUAAGUUGGAGCUUGGUCAGCUCCAAAGGAAGCUCUCCGAAAACUCUGUUAUGGCUAAGGUCCAAUGACACCAAGCUCUUGGCCAGUUUGACCUUUGAGAGAUCAAAGUGGAAGUUGUUCCGAGACAAGUCUAACCUUACGGUUGUUUUGUUAUGUCCAAAGAACAUUGAAGCAUCUCCACCGAAGUUGUUUCCUGACAAACUCACGGUGUUGAAGUUGGUUUUCGAUAAUGACUUUGGUAUUUCUCCUGCAUUACAAAUUACAAUUAAAUCAACAUAAUCAAUUUAUGUAUAUCAUUCCUUAUUACUAAUGUUCUAUAAAUCGGUUUAAACGGUUCUAAAAUGAUUGUUUUUUAAAUCGGUCUAGGUGGCAUGCAAUAUACAAACAUCCAGUUAGACAUUAAUCCUAUAUAAAACAUCUAAUUACUGCCUAUUGAUUUCUUAAACAUUUGAUUAUUAUAUAUCUAGGCUAAGGAAAAAAUCUUAGGCAAUAACUUGAGUGACAAAUUUUACCUGAGAGGUGAUUAUUACCUAAGUAGAGUUUUGGGAUCUUUCCAGCAAAGGAACCGAAAGAUUCCGGUAUAGAACCGGUUAACUUGUUAUGACUGAGCUGUAUGGUCUCAAGUCUAUGCAUCUGAGAAAUCGAACCAGGUAUUGAACCGUUGAACCGGUUAAAGGAGAGGUCCAAGAAAGUAACGUUCUGAAGCUGGCUGAUGUAAUCAGGGACUGGACCAGAGAGUUCGGUUAUCCUAAACCGAAGGUAGACUAGAUUCUUGAGCUUGGUGAUAGAGCGUGGAAUGGUGCCUCUGAGUCGAGAGAGACUGCUCAAGUCUAGGAUAACGAGGUCAGUAAGGUCUCCUAUCUCCUCAGCUAUCUGACCAACGACGUCUCCUGCAGAUAUAGUGAGGCCGGUGAUGCGGCGGUGAGUGCACACAACGCCGGUCCAGUUGGUGCAGCAGUCGGUUUUGGGGUCCCAAGAGUUGAGGAUUUGAGGGUUGUUUAAGGACUUCUUGAUCUUGAGGAGAGUAGUUUUGUCAUUUGAGUUACAACUUCUAGAACAUGGGAAGAACAUGAAGAAGAAAAAGAGAGCGGGGUUAAGAAGCUUCAUUCUCAUUGGCUCUUAACUUGCCUGUGAAGUUUCUCUUAUUUUUGAAUCAUUUAUGUUCUAAACGAGUUGAUAGUCAAAGAGGUUAUGAUUAGAUAGCAUUUAGAUGUAACAAUGAUGAUUUCAUGAGAUCAAAUGAAUCUUAUGCGCUAUCAUAUAACACCAUAUGUGUGGGUUGAAAACUUUAUUUUGAAGCAAAUAUGCGCAUUAUAUGGAAAAAUGAAUUGAUAUAUGCUUUAAAGAUAAAAGUGCCCUUGUUUCUUUGGUGGUACACUAAAAAGUGUAAUAACUGGUGGGAAACUAUGCAGAGGCAACACCCAAAGCGAUACUGAAGCUGAUGGAUUCUGAAGGACUCACAAUAUUUCAUGUUAAAAGCCAUCUACAGGUUAACUUUACUUCUUCUCUCUUUACACUUGUUUUUAAGAAGUUUUAAUUCAAUAGUUCUUGGUUAAAAUUUCAGAAGUAUAGGAUUGCGAAAUACAUCCCUGACUAUCAAGAAGGUACUCUAAAUGAAUACCAUCACUAUAUAUUUGAAUGUGAUAAAAUACAUUGAAAUUUUUUUGUCAAAAAAAGAUAAAAUACAUUGACAAUUUAGGAAUAAUGCAAAUUCAGAGAGUUUUGUUGUUGCAGGCAAGUUUGAGAAGGGAUCUUGUUCAAAAGAGCUGUCUCAGCUUGACACAAAAACGUACGUUUUUUUCCCUUCUUUAUAUGGGUACCAAAAAUAAUAUUUUCUUUAUUACUAAAUAUAUAGUCUCCAUAUAAGUCCAAAGUUAAUGACACAAUGGCUUACCGUAGCAAUGACAACAACAUACGAUUAACAUUAUUCAAAAAUAAUAAAAUAAUGAGUUGUUAAUGAUUAAAUUAAUAUUUUGUUUUGUUUUAUAUCGUGGAUGCAGUGGAGUGCAAAUUAAAGAGGCACUCCAGCUUCAGCUAGACGUUCAGAGGCAUCUUCAUGAACAACUAGAGGUGAGUUACAAAAUGUAAAUAUAUAACUUUAGUUUAUUAUAUUUUUACCAAGUAAAUGCAUUCCGAUGUUACAGUUUAAGUAGUAGUGUGUGGCAUCGAGUGCUUAUUCCAGUUUCCCACUUUAGAAUUAAUAUCUGCUUCAUUAUAUUUUGAUUUAAAAAUUAAUAUUUUUCUACAAAAUAUCUUUUUGUUUGACAAAUUUUUUUUCUAUAACAUAUCUUUUGAAACAAAUGAAGGCCAGCUUUCUAGUUUUGAGAUUGUAUGUUUGAACAUUUUGUUGCUCUCCCCAUUUUUUAUUUCAUAUAUUUAUUAUCAUCAUUCACCAAUGAAGUAUUUCUCAUACUAAUCUAUACACUUUUUAACCACUCAUAUAUUGAUUCACGUGUUUUUUUCCAUUAGAUUCAAAGAAACCUGCAACUAAGAAUCGAAGAACAAGGGAAGCAAUUGAAAAUAAUGAUAGAGCAACAACAAAAGACAAAAGAGUGUCUUCUUCUCAAGUCACCAAACGCUGAAGCAUCGUUGUCUCACUCUGCUUCUGAUCACUCUCCUCCACCUUACUCAAUUCAAGAUGCAGAAGCCCUGAUGCUAACAACUUAUGGAGACACUCAAUUCCAAUCAAAGAUAAGCUGAACAAUGAGAGAUUGGCUAAAUAGAAAAGGCCUAAUUAAAGCAUGUUUUUUUUACUCUUACUCUAUUCAAAGUACUGGUGUAAAGUUAUAAGAGUCGCGACAAGAGAAUGUCCAAAGUGCUAUACACACACUAACACUUGGAAACAGAAUCAGGUACUUACAUGUGUGCAAGUGGUGUGUGAUGGAGUCUUAGUCAUAUAUAGACUAAUAUAUAGAUGUGUGUGAUUAUUCUUAAUUAACUAUGUGCUUUUAAAAAUUCACACGAAGAGAUAGCUUCUUAAAUUAGUAACGCUACUUUUAACAUUGUGCAUGAGGAACCCCACGUUUUAUCCUUUUCCCUUUCUUAUAUAUUCUACUUUGAAUAUUCAAUUUCUUUUCAUCUUUCUUUUUUCUUCUUCUCAUUGUUCUCAAACUAAAUUUGAUUGCUCUAGUAUUAGUAUACACACUGCAUAUUAUGCUGGAAAAAAAACUGGAGAUCGUGAGCUCAUAAUAGUAGAUUGUCUUGAUAAGCUCGUUCUUAAAAUCUUGCUGCAUAAAAAUCUUUGCAUUUCUUUGCCUUAUUUACAAAGAAAAAGGCUCAGAUUGAAACAUUGUUAUGAAAUUGCCGUAAAUUUAAAUGACUUUGUAUGCUAUUUUGUGAUUGAAAACUUCUUUUUUGUCUAAAGGCCUUGAAAUAUUUUGGUCAGCCCCUAAACCGACUGAUGAUCCCUUCACUAUCACUCUGAGCCCGUCAGGGAAGAGAGCCCAUCAGAAUAAAGAAGCAUUGUGGACAAAUUGACAAACAAAAAGAACUUUAUAUUGGAAACUUUUAUUUUAAAUUUUGGAAAUACUCCAAAAUUCGUUAAAAUACAAUGAGAACUCAAGCCAAUGAUAAAAAUCAAACAAAAAUUGAAUUAACUGUUAUCUCAAAAUUGUAGUUAUAAUAUAAUUACUUUUGGUGACAAAAACUUAAAAAUGACUAUUUGGAAAAAAAAAUUGUUCAAUUGACAAACCAAAAAAUAACUUUAUAUUGGAGAUCUUUAUUUAAAUCUUGAAAAUACAAUGAGAGAACUCAAGUCAGUGAUAAAAAUCAAAUAUUGAAUUUGAUUUAAUAUUAUCUCAAAAUGAAUUUUUAGAAUAUGAUGAAUAUGCUAAACAUAAACAAAAAUUAUAGAAUCUUUAAAAUAUGACGAAAUAAUAUCGUCACACAUAAACACACAUGUCUCUCUCUCUGUCUGUGUUCAUACAGUUCAUCCAUUGAGACAAGAGAUGAAGAAGAAGAAGACACAGAGGUAAGUAAACUACAAUGUCUCUAAUCCGAAACCCUAGAUCACCCACCUCUCUUCUCAACUGGGUCUCCCACAAAGUCUCCACCUUUAAAAAACCCCAACCUCCCAUAAACCCUAGAAGAUCUCUCUCCUCCACCACCACCUCGAAACUCCCCAGAAACGAGAUUCGCAGACUAACCCAACUCGCCAUGUUCGACUACUUCUACAACAACAGAGGCCUUCAGUUCCUAAUCGCCGAGAGCCUGAGCAAAAACGCUCCUCUAUUCAACGACACCCUCCUCAACAAGCUUCACAACGAUUCUGCUUCUUGUGGUGAUGACGUCAUCAGAUCCAUCACUAAGUUCCUUCUUUACCACCCUGUGAACGAGUUCGAGCCUUUCUUCGAGAGCUUAGGUUUAAAACCCUCUGAGUUCAGCCCUCUCGUGCCUUGCGAUAAGAUGUUUUUGAACGAAGAUGCGUUCUUGUUGGAGAAUUAUCAUGUCUUUUGGAACUAUGGGAUUGGUCGGGAGAAGAUGGGGAAGAUCUUUAAGGAAGCUAGGGAGGUGUUCGGUUACGAGAGUGGUGUCUUAGCUUCAAAGAUUGAAUCUUUAGAGCGUUUGGGGUUUGGGAAGGUGUUUGUCUCCAAGCUCAUCGUUUGUACCCCGAGGGUGCUGACUGGUGAGACGAUAUUAGAAAUGGUCAGCGUUGUAGACACUGUUGGUUCGGAUUGGGUGUUGGAGAAUUUAUCAGAGGGAGGCUCUUAUGACUGGAGAUGCAUCCAUAGGUGUUUAGCCUUUCUUAGAGAGUUAUGUGGAGGAGACGAGAGUGAGGUACUAGAGUUAAUCAAGAACCGGCCCGGGCUGGUUCUGGAGGAGUCUGGAGAGUGGACAAUGAUCUUAGCUGGGUUUCAGACGAAGCUAGGUUGUUCCAGAAGUGAGUUGGUUAUGAGACUCCCUCCCCAGAGUAGUCAGGAGGUAGGGAAGUGUGUUUCGAAUCUACGGCAUUGCUUUUUGUUCCUGAGAGGUAUCAAGAUGGAGGCUUAUGAGAUAGGCAAGGUGUUUCGUAACCACUCUCACUGGCUUGGAGAGUCUCGUUUGAAGCACACUAGUACCUUUCUUAAUAAUCUGAAAGGCGGGAAGAAGCGGCUUUGUCAGGUGAUUCAGGAGAAUCCGGAGGAGAUGAAGAAAUGGACUAUGGGGUUGAGAGUAACGCCGUUGCCAGGGACUGAUGUGGUGGACGUAGUCGGCUCCAAAGCGAUGAAGACUCAGUUUUUGUUGGAGCUCGGAUACGAGGAGAAGGAGAUGGAGAAGGCCCUCAGGUGUUUUCGAGGGAGAGGGUCUGAGCUUAAGGAGAGGUUUGAGUUUCUUAAGAGCUUGGGGUUGAGUGAAGGGGAGGCUAAGGAGAUGGUGAAGGCGUCUCCUGAUGUGCUGACGCAGGCGAGCGAUGUGUUGGAAGCAAAGGUUGAUUACCUUGUGAAUGAGUUGGGGUACCCGCUUUCGACUCUGGUGGCUUUUCCUUCGUGUCUUAAGUACACGCUUGAAAGGAUGAAGGUAAGGUUUGCAAUGUAUAAUUGGUUGCAAGAGAGAGGG
rnacentral:lncRNA from 1 species